rnacentral:rRNA from 1 species
GCAGGCUGAAACCCGCCUGCAUGAAGUUGGAAUUGCUAGUAAUCGCGGAUCAGCAUGCCGCGGUGAAUACGUUCCCGGGCCUUGUACACACCGCCCGUCACACCAUGAGAGUCGGGAACACCCGAAGUCCGUAGUCUAACCGCAAGGAGGGCGCGGCCGAAGGUGGGUUCGAUAAUUGGGGUGAAGUCGUAACAAGGUAAC